rnacentral:misc_RNA from 1 species
AGAAGAAAAAAAAAAAAGAAAAAAAAGAAGAAGAAGUCAGGUUAGCUGUAUUGGAAAGCAUUAAUAACAUACUUGUCAGCUAAUUAAAUCUCUAGGUAUAGAGUAGCUAAUAAUCUUAGUUCCACUUUAGAGGAAUUGGAAAAUGGUAGGCGAAUGAGAAGUAAAAUAUGCAAAAAAAAAGCCUUUAGUUUAAAGUACUAACAAUUUAUAUGCAUCCACUUUCCCUCUUGGAAACCCCUCUGUUGAUAGAGAAAACAAAAGAUUGGAUGGAAUAAAACUACUAGCUUCUAAAUAAAAUAGAAUACUAUUUCCUACACUUCUUCCUAAAAUAAGUGGUCCUAAAGUCCUAAAAUCUUUAGGAUAUUCUACAUCACGUAAUUUGUCAAACUUCACAAAUUGUUGAAUCUUAUAAAGUAAUUAUUUCACUAUCAAAAGCCUAAAUUUUCAAUUGUUGGUUAACACCAAGCUUUUGAAACCUUUGGCCAAAUCAAUAGUUUUUAACAUCUGGUUGUAUAUUUGAUUUAGUUGUGAUUGCAAAAUGCCAGCUAAGUUGAAGGGAAAGUUUUUACGGUCAUGAUUUGACAAACUAUAAUGUAUGACAGUGAGUGUUAGGUGGUGAAUAAACAAAACACAUACAAUAUUAGUGUGGCAAAAAAGAGAAUGUCAAGAUAGAUAUGCAAAAAAUGCUAGGAUGGAUCAAUUAAAUAAUGUGUUCAUUUGCAGAAAGGCAUGAGUAGCACCUAUUUGAGAAUUAAAAAAAAGGGGGAAGAUUAAGACAUCUUGCACACAUACAUUGUAGACCACCAAGUGCACUAGCACAGAAGGUUGAGCACAUUAAAUUAGUAGGAGAUAAGAAAAGGAAGCAGGCCUAAUGUGACCUGAAAGGAAGUAGUAACAAAGGAUUUAGUGGAUUUACAUCUUUCUGCAGAUGUAACCCUAACAAAUUCAUAUGGUUGAACCUAACUAGCUUGAGAUUAGGGCUUAUUGAGUUGAGUUUUGUUUGACUUGGGAUCAAAUGCUUUUGCUAGAGCUAGAUCUUUGUAUUAUAAUACCAACUCUUCUAGAUCCUUCCCUAAUAAUCCUGGUUCUGUCCCUCCUCAUAAUAUUGAUCUUCUUGAUUAUUUACAUGUUUGAAGAGACAAAUUAGUUCCGUAGAAAUCAAAUGACACUUGGAAAUAGUUCAACCCAUAUUUAAUAAAUUAAGAAUGUUACAUGAGACUAUGCAAUCACACUUUUAUUAUCACACAAGGAUAUGGUAUGAUGCCUCAUACUCUUUCCAUCUUCUUGAGUUAUCACUACGAAAUCACUCACCAAUACAUAAGAACGUAGAUGAUAUCCAUUAAACACCACUAGAUGUGUUUUUGCUCCUUCACAACAGCUCCAGCACCAAGUCUACAGUCCAAUAUUAGAAGGGAGUCAGAUACAUCCAUCUAUAAGCUUAAUGAUCUCAAUGCUGCAUCUUGAGGGUGACAAAUGGUCCACCAGUGCAUUUUUUUUAAAUAAUAAUAAAAAAAAACUCUCGUUAUAAGCAGUCAAUAAUGCAGUUGGAUACAUGGAAUAUAGUCUGGAAUGAUUAUGGCUUUCUUUGAAAUUUGGCUUGAGUACCCAGUUUAUUAUCUUGGCAUUUGAAUUUCAACCUGAAGACUGAUAUUGAGGCCACAUAUGUGCAAGGGCCAUAACAUUUCUUUCCUUUUUGGCCCCCAAAAAUGUUGAUCAAUGUAUUGUUGUUCCACAAUAUGCCAAAUUUGUUUAUAUGCUUAUUCAAAUUUCAGUGUUUUUAUUUUCUCUUUUAAGAAAAAAGGUUUUGUCGGAUGAAAAAGUUAGGAAUGUAUUUUGAAUUUACUAUGAGAGUGUGUUAUCUAUUUCUUUUACAAAUUUACAAAUUUAUAGCCAAUAAAUAAAUAUAUGUUCUUAUAUAGUCAUUGCUCUUUAUGUGGCCAGCUUCAACUAGUUGGUGCUAAAGCUUGGUUGAGUUUAUAUUGGGUAAUCCAUUGUGCAGUUUUGCUUGUUUUAUUGUGCUUUUAAUUAAGUAAUUUGCAUAGUAAUUAACUAAAUACAUUGUUCCUACCUUUAGCGUCCACCACAAUAUUAUUUCUAAGUUCUGUGAUUUAUUGAAAGUUAUUUUUGAAUAAAAUUCCUUAGUACGUUAGAUCAAUGUUGGCCACUUGACCAGUUGAACCACCAUUAAUGGAUUUGUCUUUCUUAAUCUCAUCAUAUUUAUUGAGAUGAAAAUAUGUUUGUUUCUUUUUAUCUAUCUUGUUAAAUGAUUGACAUGCUGCCUUACUCAGGAAUCCAUUAUUAACGUAAACUACAUGCGUAUGUUAUUUGAAAGAUCGAGAUAUGUUAGUACUUACAGUCUGCAUCUGUUUUGAUCCAGUAUUCCCCAUUUCCAUUGGAGUUCCCAUUUCCAUUGGAGUUACUUUCACUUAGACCAUACUGGGAUAGUUUCAAGUUGUUCUUUUCGCAUUGUAUCCCUUCCAUUGACUUGCAUCCUGGAAGAAAUUUUCUGUUGUCUUCGUCCCAGUGCACCAGGUCUGCAUUUUGAUGCAGAGUCUUCUUAAUGUUCUCUUUAUGGGACUUAGUGAACUCUUUUUCAGCUAAAGAGUUUUCAGGAUGGACUUUUCUAUGUAGCAUUCUUAGUACCUGCAUGCCAAAGUUGAAGAAAAUAAAAAACUCUAGUGGAGCAUAUCACAUAAUUUAUUUUUUGAAAUACUGAAUGUUCCUACUCCUAUUUCAAAGUCCUAUAUAAUGGAUCCUGGAGAACUUAUUUUUAAGGUGGUGGAUUUGAGGUCUACUGGAGAUUUUUGUAGAAAAGUAUAUUGCUUGGUCAUGAAUACUCGUUAUUAGACGGUCCAGAGUGGUGAUUAUAAAAACAUUUGUGAAAUGAGUAGUUUGUAAUUUAAGAUGUAGAUGAUACAGUAUAGAUGAAUUUCUUCAACGGGUUAUCGUGUAUUCAACCAUUGAUGUCUUUCUCUUGUAAAGAUCGCUUGGGUUAAUAGGAAAAAGAAAAUAAAAUCUGCACCAUCUCAUUCUUGUGCUUGAGAACCAGUUGUCCAGAUAUUCUGUCAGCAUAUUCAACCAUAGAUCAUUAGACUAACAAAAUUGAUCACAGGUUUAUACUUUAUAUAUAGAAUCACUGGGUCUCUUUCCUUAUCAACCUAUCAUGUUUCUGAGGAAAUCUAGAGCUGGAGAAGUUACCUUAUUAAGCUUUUUCUUGGUUGAAACAGAGUUGGCAGCAUCAUUGGAAGAAGAAGGAGCAGGAUUUCUUGAAGCAUGAAACUUUCCAAGUAUCUUUCUGAUGAGGUGUUUAGCAGAUUUAUGUGCUUCCUUGGCAUGCAUCUCUCCUGUCCCUUCAGUUCCUUUGGAAGAUUCGUCUAAAAUCUUUGUCCUACGAAACAGCUCCCUGAGAGAUACUUUUUCCUUCUUUAAUUCAAUUGUUGUUUCUUGCAGUUCUAUUGAUGACCCAAAUAGAUAUCCUUGAAGUGGACAUAGUGCAGUGUUUCUAUAAUCAUCAGCAUUGGCUCCCUCUGUUUGUAUGCCGCUGAGUGUAAUAUUGCUCACGUAACUGCUCCUCGCCAAUGAUUCAUUGCAACCUUCUUCAGCUUCAGCAUCGAUAAACUUUUCUAUUUCAUUGUUGAUGAGCUUCAAGUCGUUCUCUGUUGCCUCUAUUUUUUCAUCUGCUAUGUUCUCCAAAGACAUGGGAAAUGUUGGCGUUGCUGGUUCACUGUUGACUUGUUUUGAACCAAGAGUUCCAAUUGCAAGGAAACCAUGAAAAAGCUCAGGCAUGGCACUAGAUGUUUGAUCUUCUUGAUUACCUUCUGCUUUCUUGGCUUCAACUUCGGAUAAAGCAUUGUCACAUACCUCAUGUCUGGAGUCAAACCUUGGUCUUAUAUAGGAGACUUUGUCAUCAACGGGGGACUUUGCUGAAAGGCAAACACAAUAGUUCCCUGAAGACAGAGUAUUGAGAAGAAUGAAGACAACAUAGGAAGCAAGCAUUUUAUUGGAGUGUUUAAGCAGGCAAUAAUAGCAUUCAUUGUCACUUGAUUUCUACCUUUACGAUUGUGUAUCAUUAUAGUGACUAAGCAACUCUCAGAUGAAUGAACAUGGUAGGUUAGAGAAUCAUUUAGUGAAACAACAAUGCGGUAGUACUGUACAUGACACAUUAUUUGAAUUACAAGGUGGAUGCUAUAUAUGUUCUUAUCUACCUAUUUCUAGCUAUCUUACUGAAGACAGAGGUCCAAUUGCACUGUAAAAACGAGGGAUAUGUGGUCUCAAGUUUGCUUAUGUUGGAAAAUCGGAAAAAGGUCAGAUGUCAACACUUACACUGAGCUACUCUUUCUCUUUCUCUCUUUAUUUAUUUCUACUUUUUCUCAGCUGCAAAAAACUGUCCCAGAGAAAUUAUUUGACAGUAAAUCUAAUCUUGUGAAAACUAACUUGUUGUAGACAGAGACCAGCUGAUUCUGUGGCCACAGGAUAUCAGUGGUCUUAGCCAGUCUUGGUAAAUCUUUGUAGUUGAGAUGUUUCUGCCACAGAAAAAUGAUAUGCCUGAGACUCGCAAUAUUUGGUGGUUAGGACUUCUUGUUUUUCACUGUUGUUGGUUUGACCUAUUUAUGUGAUCUUAUCCAUGUAAGUUGUAACUGAUACUUUCUAGGGAAGUCAGAAGUGUUUGUGUGUGUUUAUCUGUUUAGAAG